rnacentral:lncRNA from 1 species
UCAUAUGCUCUGGCCACACCACACAGCAAAAGAUAGGAAGUGAUGAAACUCCAAAUCAUAUGUCAAUGUGAAUAUCUCCAUAGAUAGGUACUCUUAUUAAUCAUAAAAUCAAGGCCAAUCUGAGCAACAGCCUGACUUACAAAAGAGAACAGCAUGUCCCUAGUGAUGGCAGGCUGACUAGUAGCAAAAUAAAAAUAAAAGAGUGCAGAGUUGGGAUUACAAAUCAUGGUGUCAUGUCCUUCAACUAAUCUCCUGACAGACCAAGUGCUAACGACAAUCAUAUGUCAACUUGAGAGUAUCUCCAUAGAUAGCUACUCUUAUUAAUCAUGGCUGAUCUGAGUAACAGCCUGCUGACUGGCAAACCAAAAAAGAAAAAAUAUAUAGCAGAGUGCAAAGUUGGGAUUACAACCCACAGUGUCAUGUUAUUCUUCUACUAAUCUGAGACCAAGUGCCUACCAGCAACAAUCAGAUAACCGGAGUGAGCAAUGACAUGGUGCGUUAGCCUCAUUGUAGAAAAUAGGAAAAAGCAGAGUAGAAGACAUUGUACCAUGGUGUUGGCGGCGGCGCCGUCGUCGACCGGGCCUGGUGCGUUAGCCUUGGAUUUUUUGGUGCUCGCGGGUGCAGGGGCCUUGGACAUCUUCUUCUUGUUCUUGGAGGAUGAUUUCUUGUUGGACGGCGCGGGCGCGGGGAUCUCGGCGGGCUUGCUGGGCGGGGAGGCGGGGGCAGGGGUGGGGGCGGAGGGCGGGGGCCAGGUGACGGGCGGCAGCUCGGCAACCGGUGGGGAGGCGACGGACGGGGUAGCCUUGGACUUGGACGCCGGGGCGGGAUCCAGGAUAGGUGGGCUUCCGGCGGGAGCCAUGGUGGCCGGGGUGGAGAUAGGCGGCGCGGCGGCCAGGGUGGAGGUGGGCGGCGCGGCGGCGGGAGCCAGGGUGGCGGCCGGGGUCGCCGCCGGACGGAUGGGAGCCGCAGGAGCGGAUCGACCCACUCGAUCCAAAGGUUCAGUGGACUCGCAACCACUAACCCUAACUCAUUUCAUGGGCCAGAAAUGGAGCCCAUUUGGAUCACUUUUUGGGCCGGUUCAAAGAACCGUUCGGCUGAACCGAACCAUCCCCAACUUGACUGGCACAGUAACUGCAACUUCAUCUCCACCAUCUUGGGGUUGCUGCUCGUAAACAUGUCGCAAUCUAUCUCAAAUGGGUUGGUUGAAUUGAUGCUAUUUUAGCAUGUAUGGGACUUCCUCACCACUGCUUAUUGGUGUACCAAGAAAAUAUUUUUAGUGCCAACAACGCUGGGUUUGUGCGUGGUGUACAGGGAAUUCGCUAUGGUGGCAUACUAGGGUUAGUGUGGAGCACGAAGCAGUGGUGUGAUCAAACAACCCGGACUCAUGACAAUAUAUGCUUGCUAAUAAAAGGACUAAGUAUAUCAUUAUUUGGAACCUAAACCUCAACUCGAGCCUGUCAAGACAAAUUAAAUGGCUAGCCAUGCUGAAUGCAGAUUAUCCAACCUUUGAGGUGAUCCUAUAAUGGUAAGAUAAGAGUAUGAGAGAUUUUAAAGACCGCUCAAAAGAGAUGAUAAGGCCGUACCAAGUCUGACGGCCCAGCCCAGCAGCCCUUCCCAUUAGGAAGAGGAACUUCGUCGAUAUAAUGUACGAAGAACUCAAACCCCACGACGGAGCCCUUGUUGGGAGGGAUCCGUGAUGCCCGUCGCAGCAGCUCUGCCGGACGACGCGCUCUGGCGGCCAUGGGCGGACCUCCCUUUGGAUCUCCUCCGCGACAUCUCCGGCCGCCUCGACACCACCACCGACUACGUCCGCUUCCACGCCACGUGCAAGCCCUGGCGCGACACGCUCCCGCCGGCGCCGUGCUAUCCCGCGUUCCUGCCAUGGCCAUGGCUGCUCGCGCCGCCGGACUCCACCAAGCACCGGAAGGCUCGCUGCGUCUUCUCCUCCUCCAAGUCGACCCGCCGUGGCACCGUCGCCGAGGAUUGGGGGUGGGUGAUCAGCCUGGUAGACGGCACUGCCGUCUCCACCCUCACCAGUAUCUGUUUCGGCGGCCUCACCGACGACCCUCUCACUGAAUCUGCUGCAUCUGCAUCCGGCAAACCCCUACUCCUACCUCCAUUUUCACGUCACCGUGAGGCCAAGUGGUGGGUGGAUCACGCCAAUGGUUUUGUCUCUGGUGACGGCACAAUCUUUUUAUACUUGACUGUUCCCGUCCGCUGGAGGUGCAAUUACCUGUUGCCGUUCAACGCUGCCCUACUGCGUCCCGGCGAUGCGGCAUGGACAAUGGUGCAUAAGCAGUUCCACGGCGUAUCCUCCAUAAACAGUUGCAUUGCACAUCACGAUGGGAAGAUCAUCGUCGUACGCGACGGUCACCGGUCUUGGUCCUGCAUCGAGACAAGGCAGGUCCACUGGUGGGAGCCUGGGAGGAGUGGGUUAUUACCAAUACCCCAUUGCCAUCUGAAUGUGGCAAAGCAUUGCAGUCCAGCUACCUCUUGGAGUCUAAAGGCGAGCUUCUUCUGGCAAAUGUGGUAGCCAAUCACGGGCACUGUUACCGCUAUACCGUCAGCAGCUUUAUGGAUGGGCGGUCAGUUUCAGUCCACGCGCUGCAGCAGGCGGAAGGCACAGAAACACAGUGGGUGAAGAGGGACGUCCGGAGCUUGGCUGAUCGUUUCAUCUUCCUUGGGAAGCCAAGCAGCUUUGCUGUGGAUGCCGCGCGGUUUGGCGUGAGCAGCGGCGGUGGGUGCGCCUAUUUUGUCAUCAAGAGCGAGCUCUAUGGGGGCAUCUGGAGCAAGUCGGCUGUCAAAUGCUGCCGUGUGUUCAGGUACAGCUUCCAGGAUGAUAGGUCGGAACUCACCGAGCAGCUCCCAGGCGAAUGGGACGACGACGCCUGCAUGUGGUUUACGCCGCCACAACCUUCCAUUGCUUCAACUGAGGUGAAAGUGCAAAUUUUAGCUUGCCGGACCGGACCUCUUGUUUAACUGUCAGUACUGAUUUGAUUUGUAGUGUUUCUAGGAGAACAUCAGUAUCAUAUCUGUUUAUAUAGCUAGGGGCAACAAGAACCAACCUUCCAUUAUAUUUUACUUAUCCAAACAUUCAUUAGUAACAUUCAUGUGCAUGCACAUGCAGGAAAUUAGAGAGAGGCUUGAGCCUUCACACAGAGAGGCUGCAGCUGCAGGAGGGCCACUAUUCGGGCCUUAUUUCAGGAUUUAUGUGGGCAAUCUGUCAAGGAAUGUGGACAACUAUAGACUGGGACAGUUCUUCAGCAAGUAUGGCAAGGUAGCAGAAGCAAGGGUCAUGUGCCACAUAAAAACCAAGCGUUCACGAGGGUUCGGGUUUGUGACCUUGGCGACCGUAGUCGAUCAUGAGCAGGAACAUGCUAUUGCUAAGCUGGAUGGACAGGUACAGAUUUACUGGUGCUUACUUUUAUUUUUGAACAGCUAAUUAGCCAAUCCAUGCCAUGAAUGAUUGAAUGAUCACCUAGACACAAAUGCAUGAUAAACUAUUCAUGUUGGAUCAAUUUUUUUCAGAUUUUAGACAGGCGCCCCGUGCGAGUGAAGCUUGCAGAGCAGAAGCAGCCACAUGUAGCUUGCUAGUCUAGCUAGUUAUGUUUAAUGUCCUGCAAUCAGUAUUCUUGUAAUAAUCACUAAAAUGUAUGUGUUGUGCAAAACUUAUCAUUUUAUGGAAAUUUGGAUAUGUUACCUUGGUGGUUGUUGAUUGAGUGCUUCCUCCUCCUCCAUGCAGCCUGUUUUCGCUGAUAGCUGUUACCUUACCACCAGUCCACCACAUGGCAAGGUCACCUAACAUAACCAUGAAGGUUUGUCUCUUACACCACACCAUCCUGCUUCACACAGCGCUCUCGUCCUUUCCCUGUAUAUUUUUAUGGGAGUUGUUAUUGCAGCCCCUCUUCCGCUCAGUUGUUUUAGGAAGUGCAGAUCUAGCCUUGGAUUACCGUCCUUUUCCACCUUAUUAUAUAGCUAGGGGCAACAUGAACCAAAUGUUUGUUGUUACUUCAUUAUAUUCUGAUUCGUCCCCCACUAUUUCUGUGAUUUGAUUAUUGCAAGUCGGUGGAAUUGCUAGGUUGCUCUUUUUUGGUUUGUGUUACAAUUCAGCAGGGCCUGUGCUGCAUAAGGUGAUUUGGUCGAAGCUUAGCACUGUUUUCUGCUGCUAACUGAGGGAGGAAAAUUCGUCAGGUGUAGAUCCUUAAUUUGAGAGAGAUGAACUGCAAAAUCGGACAUGUCGAUGCUGGUUUCAGACAGAGGCAUGCUGUGGUGCCAGUGAUAUUAGGUGGCAUCUGGUGGAUCUGAGCUUGGGUGUCACAGCUUUUUGUUGAGGCCACCUGCUGUGCUCUGGCUUUGAGUAGUGGAGGGCUACUGUGCGCAGGCUUCAGUCAAAGCUGGGUUGGGGUGCGGCGAUAUGUGCCAGAGUUGUGGAGGGUCAGUCAGAUGCGAUAGUUUGAUGAUAAAAUCCACAGAAUGUUAUAUAUCUAGCAGUGCAUCUUUUGGCGUCACUACGAAAGUUUAAGGCAUUCCUCAUAGCUGUGAAAUUCAGUAGCAUAUAUUUUUUCCUAGAUUUUUAUGUUGAUAAAAAACAUGGGAAAAAAGUAUAUAUAUAUAUAUAUAUAUAUAUAUAUAUAUAUAUAUAUAUAUAUAUAUAUAUAUAUAUAUAUAUAUAUAUGACACGUUUUAUUUACACGUACGAGUAACUACUCCUACGUACGGACGGGAGUGCUAGUGAGUCUCGCGGACGUAUCUAACGGGAACAGAAACGUCGGGCGUACGCCCGUUAGCUCCACUAACGGGUUUCCGUGAGCUGCUCCCGAGCGUAUGUACAGAAGCUGCUGGUAUAUGCUUUCCGUGAAUAAAUAAAGUAUGGAUACAUAUUUUAAUAAAUGAAAUAGGUAUAUUUACGUACAUGUAUUUGCGAGUAGAUUUAUAUACACAUGAAAUUUGAUUAUAGAGUAACUACGGCAGGGAGUGGCUUCCCCUAGUGCCAAAUGCACUCGGGGAAGGUCUAAUUGCACUCGGGGAAGCCUUCCCCGAGUGCAACACUCGGGGAAGAGCCUCCGGGGUAUCUCUUCACGGGAAAGACGUCUUCCCCGAGAGCCGAAAAUCAUACACUCAGAGAAGGCUUUCCCGAGAGCCGUUCUAGCACUCGGGGAAGAAUUAACUGGCUUUCCCGAGAGCCGUUCUAGCACUCGGGGAAGAAUUAACAUCGUUGGUUGCCAGCCGACGCCGUUUCCUUCUUAUUAUUUUUUAUUUUCUUCCCCGAGUGCAACACUCGGGGAAGAAACCCUCUUCCCCAAGUGCUGCAGCCCAGGCACUCGGGGAAGAAACCCUCUUCCCCGAGUGCUGCAGCCCAGACACUCGGGAAAGCCACUUUGAAAAUCUUUUUUUUAUUAUUUUUUGCUUCUCCAUGUAAAUAAAAAGCAUAUAUAUAUAUAUAUAUAUAUAUAUAUAUAUAUAUAUAUAUAUAUAUAUAUAUAUAUAUCAUAAACUACAAAUCAACAGUAAUAUAUCACAAACCAUAUUUAUAUAUAUUUAUAUAUCACAAACAACCAAAUUUGUACAAAAUUCACAAUAUAUUACAAACCACACAUUCAAAAGUACACAUUAUUCCAAGUUCACAAGUUCAAUACAUAAAAACGACUCCGAAGAUGGCUCACGGUGGCGGUCCAGUGUGCGAUGCCGGCGAGGGUUGGGACGCCCCAGCUUGUGAUCCCGGCGUGGCGAAGCAGUGCAGGCAUGACCGCAGCACCGGCGAAGACGAUCAGGGUCACUAAGGUGCUUUGGGUCCCAUCCGACAGGUCCUGCUCUACAAAUAAGAAACACAUCACAACAUAAUAAAUAUCAUAACUGCAGUAGAACAUAUGACAUUAAAGUUAUUACUACAAAUGUGUAAGCCUGCCUUUAACUAUGCUAACAAGUAAAAGAAAUAUGCCUCACUUCUCAAAUAAAUUAAUUUCUGCAGAAAGAGAUAAGUGCAAGCCAUGCCUAACUUCUACCAAUCCACCGUAGUCUAUCAGCUAGACUUAUUCAAUUUAGAAUGAUUCAAAUAAAUGAGAAUGUAUUAUUUCUAGAAUUAAAAUACAAGAUUUUUAUCUUCUUGUAAUUGAACACUUGCUAUGGUAACGCACCUGUUGAUCUCAUCUUCUCUUAACCAAUCUGUUACUACUAGUAGAAAGCGCGCGCCCUCGCGCGCGUGGGUAAAGAGAACGUGGCAGCUAUAGAAGAAAUAUAUGUUGGUUAACAUCUUCAAAUUAGACCUAAAUAAAUACGUUAUCAAGGAAUGGUCGCCAGACACAUACUAAUGCUAUAGGGCACAACAAAAGCAUCAAUAUUAAAGAUAAGUCAACAUAACAAAGUACCCUAAAAGCAGACUGCUAUGAUAAUCAUGAUAAGGCAGCAAUGAGUAGCUAGUAAAAUGAGCUUGAACUUUUGUAUUCCUUCGAUGAUGAAUUAACAGCAGGUUGUAAGUGAUCAACAAUUUGCAAAAACAGGUGUUUCCCAUGAUUGACAAAGCAAAGAUAGAAUUUGAAGAUUCAUUCUUUAUCAAAGCAUUCGGCAUUGCAGGUUGGGCCAUCUGUAAAGAGAGGAAUGAUUACAUCUUUAGACAAAUCAGCCCACUGCACGAAAAACUGAAAACCGAACCAAUUUUUUCAGGGAAACUUACAUGUAGUUGUAUAGAUAAGAAUUGAGUUACAAACGUAUUCUAAAUAUCUGGGUGACCAUAUUCUAUAUUGGCAAAGACUGUAGUAAAAGCUACUGCUGCAUCAUAUACCCAGUGCGUAAAAAUGUCACAGAUUUUAACAGCAAUAUAAAAAAGUGUAUUAUGAAAACUUAAGAUUGGAGGUACGGUAAGUACAGAUGUUAUGAAAGUAACCCAUUCUAGCGCACCACGUCAGGUAAGAAGCAAACAAUCCUCAGUACCACCCAAGGAAGUUUUUUGUUUCAUAAGCAACUCAUGUAAAACAUUUCUUUUACCAAACAACUAUGUACAAAUGGAACAUUAAAAAAUAGUUUGCUAAUUAGAUGGUGUUCUCUACUCAACCAACUGCCGCAAGUAAAAUCAUUUUAAAAUGAUUCCUGGUUCACCUCCAACGGUAAAAAGAAUUGAAAUUGCAGUAACAACAGAGUAUGCAGAGAUAUAUUGCUUAUUUUUGUUGUGCCCACCUACUUGACGACAAGCAUAUUAAGCUCUGUAGCCAUCUCUCUGAACUGAGUCAGCUAUUGGUCCACAAUUUAUCAGCAUCUUGGAUCAAGUCUCAUAUAAAAUGGAGCAUGCAACACUUUGUGUAGAGUAAGUCUGAAUUAGGAUUUUGGACCAUCCAUCCCCAAAAAAUAUGAAUUCUAAAUAAAGCUAAGGGCACUAUAAUAAAUACCAAAUCUAUUAAAUUGACAGGAAUUUGUGUGUAAUGUAUAGAUGAACCAAACUCGAAACGAAGCAUAAGAAAUUUGAAGACUUGUUCUAGCCAUUACACACAUGUAGUUUUGAAGGUCAUGAAACUCUCUUCCUUUGUACGUGGACAUGAAGAGCAUGCACUUAAAAUUAUUACACAUAUGUAUGUGCAGAGAAAUUUUUAUGGAAUAACAGGGUGAAUUAUGGUUUUAUUAUAAAUGGAGAAAUUUUUAUGAAAUAACAGGGUAAAUUAUGGCUUUAUUAUAAAUGGAGAACCUGUAUAAAUAAAAUAUAUUAAAGGGAACUGCGUACCUCCCAAUACUCAAACUCAAAUUUAGGCAGCUCAGAUCGAUUUGCAAUUAUGUUUGCCUCCAUGCUUCAUGGCUUCUUUUUUUUCAAGCAGAGAAGGGCUCAACACAUACAACCUCAAUACUAAUAAUAAUAAUAAUAUAGCUCACAUCUUUGAAAAAGUUGUCACCUGAAAGUGAUUGAGUUUCAGUAAACUGUGAUAUAGUCAGUGUAGUAAACCUUGCCAUAAAUUAAAUUUUAAUACUAUUAAUUCAUUUAAUAAAAUUUAAAGUUCAAAUCUGGUACAUUUAUUAAGAAGGUAAAAUAAAAAAAUAAGCACACACUCCAUGGGGAGCGCGGCACCAGAAUACACAACUUAAAAUUCAGAGCAACAGAGUAACCUGCUCAAGGGCCUGACAUAAAACAUAAAAAAGAGUGUGUAAUCAGGAACUAGGCUAAUUGACUAAUUGACAGAUUAGUUACACGAACUAGAGGGAACUGUAAUCAUGAAAGAACUAACUUUUUAUGAUUCCAAUCUCUAAAUAUGUGAAACAUAAUAUAUACUAAACAAGUAGUAAAUAAAAUCACAUGACGAGACGCCCUCCUCCUACACCAUACACGCACGAGGCCUAAUCCACACCGACUAUAAACACCGGAUUGAACAUCAUCCGAGUUCCCCAAUGCCAAGAUCCCAUCAGCCAAACCCCAGUUUCUUAGUGCCCCAAUCCAAAUCGCCAUUACCUAAAUCGAGGUUUUUCAUGCCGGAAUCGAGAUCCCGAGAUCCUACUGCUGUAAAUCCAAAUCCCCAUUACCUAAAUCGAAGUUCUUUGUGCCGGGAUCGAGAUCCCGAGAUCCCACCGCCGUCAAUCCAAAUCCCCAUGGGGAGAGGAGGGCGCGGCCGUCGGCGGGCUGGGGAGGGGGCGCGACCGUCGCGGGCUGGAGACGGAGGGCGCCGAAUCAGUGGCAGCGGCUGGCAGGGGCGCGGAUCUAGAGGUUGCCGACCUGGUUGCGGCGGACGUCAUGGGUGCGGACCUGCUGCUGCGGACGGCAUGGGUGCGGAGCUGCUGCUGCGGACGCAUGGGUGCGGAGCUGCUGCUGUGGACGGCAUGGGUGCAGAGCUGCUGCGGCGGCGGGGCGGGCAUGCGUGUGGAGCUCGGCGGCGCAGCGUGUGCGUGCGUGCGUGAGGAGCCGAGCGGAGGAGUCCGUGAGCGGUGCGUGUGUGCUGGUCGAGUGCGUGCAAGGGUGUUUGGGGCGGCUGGGGUGGGUCAGUAGUGUUUGGGGCUGGCUAGUUUUUCUUAAAAGAAUUCUUUCCCGAGUUCUUUAUCCUAGCCUCUUCCCCGAGAGCCACAGACAAAGCACUUGGGGAAAAAAAUUUAUUUUUUGGGUUUUUUUACCCUAUUUUUUUUGUGAGGUUUUCCCACAUUAUUUAAAACCACUUGUUCAAAUUUGGGAAAAUUUUAACCUUUUUUAAUAUAUUUCAUUAGUUUUUUCGUUCUGUUGAUUUUUUUACAUACUUCAAAAUUGAACUACAGGUGCAUAAAUUAAUAGAAUUUUUUUAUUCAAAAAAUAAUAUUCAUGAUAUUUGGUAUAUGUUGAGGCCAUAUCCAAUAGCUCACAUGAAAUGUCGAACAUCUUGUUGUCAUAACAUGAUGAACAACUUGUAGGAAAAGUGUUUUUAAAUUAUAUAAAAUUCGAACAAAAUCUAAAAAUCACGAAACUUGAUUGGGUGUCAUGUUAUCACAUCUAUAGGCUAUGGUAAAAAUUUGAGAAGGUUUCAAAUAAGGUGUCAUGUUGGAUGGUUAAAACUCAGACAUCUCCGUAUGUGAUCAUAAGUGAUCACAUGUACAGAUAUCUAGGUUUUAGACAUCUGACGUCACAACUUCUUCGAAAACUUCUCAAUUUUUUACCAUAGCCUCUACAUGCAAUAACAUAACGCCCAGACAAGUUUCAUGAUUUUCAGACUUCAUUCGAAUUUUUUAUAAUUUAAAAACACUUUAUCUAUAAGUUGUUCUUCAUGUUACGACAACAAGAUGCUCGACAUUUCAUGUGAGCUCCUGAAUACGGCCUCAACAUACACCAAGUAUCAUGAAUAUCAUUUUUUGAAUCAAUAAAUUCUAUUAUUUCAUGAACCUGCAGUUCAAAUUUGAAGUAUGCAAAAAAAUUCAAGGAAACGAAAAAAACUAAUGAAAUAUACUAAAAAAAGUUUAAAUUUUCCCAAAUUUGAACAAGAAGUUUUAAAUAAUGUGAGGAAGGCCUCAGAAAAAAAAAUAGAGCAAAAAAAUAAAAAUUCUUCCCCGAGUGUCUUUCUUGGCUCUCGGGGAAGAGACCCUUCCCCGAGUGCUAGGCCCACGACACUCGGGGAAGCCAGCAUUUUCUCCGAGAGCUAUGCCAUGGCACUCGGGAAAGGGCCUCUUCCCCGAGAGUUAAGCAAGGCACUCGGGGAAGAUUUUUUUUUUAUUUUUAGUUUAACGACACCGUUGAGUUAGGCCGUCAAGUAACACUUUUCUUCUCCUAGUGUGGCUCUUCCCCGAGUGUUGCACUCGGGGAAGAGGGCCUUUACCGAGUGUUGCUCUUCCCCGAGAGCCAGGUAUUUUGUGGCACUCGGGAAAGCCUCUCUUCCCCGAGUGUAAUUCUUCCCCGAGUGCAACACUCAGGGAAGAUUGGCUUCCCCGAGUGCUCGAUUUUUGGCUCUCGGGGAAGCCUGCGACACUCGGGAAAUUUUGAUUCUCCCGUAGUUAGCGUUUUAGGAGUACAAAUUUAAAAUAGUAUGCGGACAUACUUUUCUGACACCUGUAGACAUAUACUUUUUGACGAGUAUCAGUACAUACACAUUAAAAUAAGUGUCUAACACUAAUUAAAUGAGGAUUGAGGAGAAAAAAUGGUACUAGUAUGCGUGCAUACUUUUGACGAGCUAGUAGAUUAUAUGGUGUAUACAAUUCUGAGGAGUAUUUGUACAUUUUUUUACAAGGGAGUAAAAGUAUAUACUCCCUUUGCUAUAUAUACUGGCGCUUCUGAUUUCAUGAGAUGGGUCCAUUAGUUGAUUGUAGUAACUCUAUAAUGUAUAUACAAACUGGUAUGUAAUUCUACUGCAUCUACAUGCUGACAAAAGUUUCUAAACUGAAUAUAUAUGCAGUCCCUACAAGAUAGCUUCAGCUAUAAACUAACUUGCUACUUUACUGUGCCAUACUCAUCCCUCGUAUAUUUGAGCCCUUCAUAAAACUCAUGAUUCCAAACCUAUCAGAAAAAAUAUUGUAAGUUAUAAAGUAAUAUGAAAAGUAUCAAAUGAUCCUAUGAUGAACAAAAGUAUGCAAACAUACACUGAUCUGGAAAGGUAUCUAAACAUACUCAUAUUUGAAAACAGUAUCUAAGCAUACUCUUAAUUCUUGAUUAUUGAUUCUGGUAGUAUAUUUCCUGGUAGUAUAUCUACAUACAUGGUUAGAAGGCAAGAGGAGUAUGCAGACAUACAUAUGCAUACAUGAGAAAUAUAAAUUUGGCCAACAUAAAUGUAAUGCUAGAUCCAUAAUCGCUGCAUGUGUGGUAUCUAUAAAGAGAUAUCUGCCUGAAAAGAAGAAGAAGAAGAAAAUAACAUGACCAAUCAGAUGCAGCCAUGCACGUAUACUCUCUUGAUCCAAUUGCAUAUACAAACGGAGAUCAGAUUCGUCACUCGUCAUCUUGAUUCAGAUUUCAAGAGGAGCUAUGAACUCAUACCUGUUAGUUAUUGACUGAACGCAUGAGACAGGCAUUGGACAAGCCCGCCCUCCCGCUGGAGGCAGCACAUACGGCCUAGCGCGAUAGGGGCGCCGCUUGGGGACCACAACUUGUCAAGGUCGUGGCCGGUAGGGAGGGAGAAGGGCGGCGCCUACGGAGGAGCGGCCGCCGCCGCCGGCGGAUAGGGAAGGGGUGCCACACCAUGCGCCUGAUACGCCCCGCCGUUGAUCAGUGAAGGGGCGCCACCACGGCCGCGUCGGAACUGGAAUGGGGCAUGGCGCCGCAGCCGCUAUCGAGAUGGGGAAGGGCGCCGCGGGCACCGUCGAGAUGGGGAAAAGCGCCACCGCCGCCGCUUCGUGUGGUUUGGUAGGCUCAAAAUGCAGGACGCCGUGUAUCGAUGUAUGCAUCUAACGGGUAAGGAUGUGCUAUUAAACCCGAUAAGUAGAAGCCAAGUUUGGUGGACGAGCACCACCCGCACGUCAACGGCCCGUUAUGCUCCAUUUGGCUCGACGCUCGCGUGCAUUACUUCCAGGUCGGAGUAGAUACAUGUACGUGUAUAAAGGAGUUUCCCUAUAUAUAUAUAUUCUCUAUAUUAUACCCUGGGUACUGAAUAAUAAUCCGUCUCUAUAUUAUACCCUGGGUACUGAAUAAUAAUCAGUACCCGAUCCCAAAACACCGCCGAGCCACGGGUGCUCCUCCUAUCCCUCUGUUUUUUUUUCUCGGCACCAACCUCUUUUUUAUCGUAUCCUUUUUUUCUAUUUCUAUAAUCUCCGGAUCGUGGGGAACACACGGAGGAGACGCCAGUUUCGCCCCAGCUCGCUGCUCCCGACGCCCGAGCUCUACUCGCGCCUCGCCGCCGCCAUCGCCAUCUCCGAUGCACUUGCCGCCGCCGCCCUCUUGCUUUGCCGCUAUCGAGGGCCUUCCUGGCAUUGUCUCCCUCCUCCCCCUCCCCUCACCACCUCAGCUUGCCGUCGCCAUUAGCCGCAGCCGCAACCGUGGUUUUGAAGCUCCUCCUAUCGUAGCUCGCCGCCGCCAAGGGCCCUCCUAGUAUCAUCUCCCUCCCCCCUCCCAUCAGCCCCUCAGAUCGCCGUCGCUAUUGGCCGUGGCCGCGGUUUUGAAGGCCCAAUGGCGACUCUUCUUGCGACGCUAGCCGUUAGCUCGCCACCAGGCGCACCACCGCUGCUCCUGCCAACACUGCCGGCAGAUCCAGGCGCCCCUCCUCCAGAUCCCCUUCUGUAGCUCCUCGUUUGCACCAUCUCCUCAUCCUUCCCCUUCCCCUUCUUGAUUUUAUUUGAUGAUUCGAGUGCAGGAUGUGUUCCCUGCAAGCGUUUGAUUGUCGGCCCAGGUCAUGACCAAGAGCUCCUCUUCAACUGCAGCAAGGUGAGUUUGUCUCGGCCGCCAAUGAUGGUUGUAUAACUGUUACCAAUACCAAUUGUGUUGUGUAAUAUAGUGUAUUCAUUAGGAGAUGCCUCUCGAGGGAUGUCGCUGUGCAGCCCCGAACCCGGCCUCCUACACGUGAGGUAAGGCUAGCCCUUAAUCCUUGUUAUUAUAACUGUGUAUCGAUUUGCUGACUGAACGGGGAAGCUUGUCGAUUCUGAUCCAUCCAGAGAGAGCUGGUGGUAUUUUACCACUGUUUUGUUAGUUGAGGGAGACCAAUUCCAGUAACUAGAUAUUUAUGUACUAUUUUUUUAAAGGAAUUGAUUACUUUUAUUUAUGAAGAUGAGUACCUGUUCAGACAUGCAGAAUGUGAUGAUCAUAUUGAUAUAAAAUAUUUAUGAUUAGGAAAUCAACACAUGACGCUAGAGUGCAAAGCAUUUAAGUUUUUCGGUCACACAUGACAGUAUUUGUGAACAGGCCACAUUGGUAGCAAAUAAUAGAGUUUUUUUCAGUUGAUGACAUAAUCAGCAUAAUUUAAGUUUUUAUGGUACCACACGACAUUAUUUGCUUCUACCCUAUGUAAAGGCAUCGAUGCUGCUGCAUGUUAGUUUCACCUUAUCGUUAGAAUUUUGUUUUUUACAGUCUGAAUAGUUUAGUUUAUUUAUUUUUACAUGAACUCUACUACUACUUAUUAGGAUGUUUCUCUGCUAGCACUCCUGGCUUUAUGCGGGAACAGCAGUCACAGCGGGCCGAUAGCAAUUUAGAUGCAUUAUUUGCUUCUCCAAUGAAACCAAAUUUCUUCAAUUUGCUUAGGCCUCGCCCCAGAGGAUUUAGUGAUAAGAUCAUAUUUCCUUUAGCCCACACUUUUGACCCAGAAGAACUAAGCUCUUAUACUACUGUGAACUGCAACAGUGCAACUAAUCUUUCCAAUUUAUCAAAUCUCUUUUGCUUAAUGUGUUCAUUUGUUAAUUUCUUAUGUCAGUUCCUUGAGGUUAUAAAUUGAGAAAUGACAAUAAUUAUCAAACGCGCUCCUGCAGCGUGCUCUGUUUGUAUGCAUUUUUUGUGAUAUUAAUGUUAGUGUUUGCUAUCUACCAGCCUAAUUCAAAAAAACUUCAAUGAUGAUCAGCUUUUGUUUAUUAACUCAUUGACCCAUCCUUUAUCAGAUGCCAGAAGUCAACAUGUUGUUUUGAAGUCCACUGUAGUCUAAAUAUCUUUGAUCAUAUUUCGUGUUUAGAGCUAAUAUUUUCAUCAAUGUUAUUUAUUCUCUUUUGUCCUUCUUAGGUUGUGUGUAUGUAAAUCCCUGGUGUUUUCCAUCAAAGCACCCUCCUCUAGCUACACUCCAUGAUCACUCACAAAGGUCAUUUUUUUCUAAUAUCCCCAAUUUGUAGGUCUGACUUCUUAUGCUUGAGUUCUCAUCAUGUUUUUUUAUUCAUUACUUCAUUAGAUAAUUAGCCAUAACAAUAUAUCCUCCUGCAUGGAGACCUUGGGUUUUGUGCUCCCUUCUUAACACCAAGGUCAAGCCAAGUUGUAGCUUUUGCUCACAUUCGUGCACGCCGGACGAGUAGCGACGAGCAACCUGAUGCCAGUGUGCCUCCUGCUGCUGAUGCAGUAGUCUUAUUAAUAGUUCAAUUGCUGCAGAAACACUAAAAUUUAUCUCCUAUGUGCCCACCUUAUUGGUAUUUUCAUUCCAGGCAUGGUGCUUCUAGGACGAGGAUCUGAACCUAUCCAGCCUACCUAUGCUAAAAUUGAUUUCUCUGAUUGAACAUUGUAGUAUGAGAAUUUUCACAUGAUGUUGGUCUCAUCCUUGUCCUGUUUAUGUAGCCUAGAAUGAGCAGAAACAGAGCAGUAUCUGAUUGUUGAAUUGGUGUCCCUUCUUCCCUUCAUGGCUCUAAAGUUGAGUAUUUUGAUGUUUCUCCAGGAAGCCAUUUUAUUGUAGAAUAUUUUUAGAAGAAGCCAGCCAUUUUAUUGUAGACUAUUUUCAGAUGAAACAAUUUAACUGUAAAUUAUCAGGCUAUCUCUCCUAUUUUGGUUCUCAAGUGUCACCAACUAGAUAUGUUGGGAAAAAUAUACUCCAUCCCAUAAAAAGUGUCAUUCUAGAAUUCAAAUUUUGUCCCUUUGAAAGUGUUGUUUGCCUACCUAUAGGAACUGUACCAGCAACUGUCCACCUGCACUCACCCAUCACCCACUCACUCGCCAGCACGUAGCCUGUUAGUGGCAGCUUCUUCAUUUAUAGUACUUCAUCUUAUGUAAUUAUUGGAUAGUAGAGGCAUGCAGGCAUUUUACUCUUCUCCUUGAUACAAACACCAGCCUCCCAAAUGACCAUAUAUAUGGCACAGAGGUAGUAUUUGCUGCAGACAGUUUGAUAAUACUAGGAUUGUUCCAGAAAGCAGGUGGUCCUAGAAAUCCUAGCCUGCUACAUGAAAAUAAAAAUAUUAUUUAGAAACAUAUUCCGUAGUAUGAUUCAUCAAUAUAAUUGUCAUUGGGUGGAUUCACUUAUUCAGUUAACUACUGGUGCCGAGACACAAGAUUUAGUGCUAUGAUUAAUUUAUGAUAUUAUAAGUGCUGCUGUUGUGAUAUAGUAACUGUGGUGGAUUAAUUAGCAGCUCCUUUUUUUGCUUGACUCAUUGCGUAAGCAUGGAAAUUAAAACUUCAAACUUAAUCAUCACUGCAUCUAGAGUUUGGUCAAUUUCGAUUGAAGAUCCAGCUAUCCAAGUAGUAAUGCCUCGGAGACUUCACUUAUUCAGCUUAUGUCUUCUCUGACCUGUCAACCAAACUAACUCUUGUCAUGGCUUGGUGGGAUUUUGUAAUGACGGUUCUGUAUGAGAAGGGGUUGUAGCCUGAUGGCCAAGUAACACAUCAGUUUGUCCAUGUUUGUGUGCCUGAGGUAAUUUUGUCUUCCUCCUAUCUUCCCCUCAUGAACUCUGUCCCUUGUAAAAUUCAAGUGUUUCAUGCUCCAAAAGAUCAUCUUUUAUUAAAUGAGUCCUUUCUUUCAAAUGUCAUGCGGGUAUUUUUGUUCAGCGUAUGUUGGGAAAUUGCAACACAGGACCAUCAUGUGCUCUGCAUGCUAUUACUAAUUGAAUUCUGGACUCAAACAUGUUCUCAUGAGGUUAAAAAAUUGUAUAUGCUCUGAAUUGUCAAUUCAAAUUGACACUUUAAUUUCAUCUUUUUGUUUUUGAGAUGCCAUCAAAAUCAGAUAUGUGCUCUGCUUCCUUGGGUACUUCUGUUCUCUGGCUUUUUCCUUGUUGCGUGAAAGGAGCCUGCAGAUUGUUUACCUCACUUAGAUAUACCUUAUUUAUAUUUAUUGUUCACAGAUUACUACAGGUUGUCUUGUUUAAUCUAAUGAACUGCUAAUCAUAUUGUUGUUUUAUCUUCUAGCUAUUGCACUUGAGAAUGCUUCAGUACGAAUAUAUAAUGUGUUUCAGUAGGAACACUAGAUCCUGAUCUCAUAUCUUGUUGUUUAUUUUGUUUUUUCUUGUGCCUUCAGAAUAAACAGCUGUAGACACUCACAACAGUCUUAUUCUGUGAUCUAGUUUAUUAAUAUUUCUUAGUUAAGUAAACAUCUCCAAGUAUGUGGUUAGAAAUAAAUUUGGUCACAAGGGCUUGUGGAUGCUCAAUAAGCUAUUUCCCAAGGCACCAAAAACAACCUCAGCGCCUCCCUUUGGUCUGUUUCCACCGCCCCUCUUUUCUUCUUUCUUUUUAUGUUAGUUUUUUCCUCAACUUUUUGGUUGUCCCGGGAGAAGAGAGCGGUUCCUCCUAUUAUCUCGACUGGUAGAUGCAGUUCAUUUCUCAUGGUGCCUAUAGUCUACCUCUUCCGCAUGUUCACCGUGUAUUUGGCGGUGGCGGUACCAACUUCCAUCCUGCUCCUAUCAUCCAUUCAACUCCUCCUGCGACUCUCUUUUACCAAUUCCCUCAUUUGGCCUAUUCGAUGGCUACGACAGUCCCUUAUCUAUUUAGCUCCCCAGUAGCUUUUGACGACUCUUUUUGCUAAGUCCUCCCUAAACAAAAAAAAUCUGCUACCUUAAGCACAAAAUGUUUUUAUCAUUCUUUAUGUGUGUUAGUUUUUCAUAUUAUGCACUAUCCGUUCUAUGUUCAGUUAUUCUUUCAUAAGCCUCUACUGCCCUAUCCACAACUUCUGUUAUUUGACCCACAAAUAUAUUUUCUAGUGCCCUUAAUCAACUAAAGCCCUCUUGCAAAUACCUCUUUAUUCUACCGUCUUCAUAGUCGUUCUACAGGUAGUUGGUAGCCUAGUUGAACCUUUAAUCAUGUGACUAGAGAUGUAAGUGUGAUGGAUAUUUUGGGACAGCAGCAGGCUUGCAGUGUAUGUUAUCCACCCAAGUUCUACUGUUUUGAAGCUAGCAGAUACACCUGACCAUGUGAGACCUGUGCAGUAGAUAUUUUGGAAGGGGAUGCAGUAGUCUUAU